AUGCAUAGCAGAACGUAUUCCAGAACAAUACCAAAGACCGCCAGUAGAUGGCAUCACAGGACCAUCAAUAAACAUAAAAGACUGAAUUACACAGGAGAAAACAUACAUGUAACAGAACACAUAUAUUUAGAAAUAUAUACAUAUAUAUAUAUUUCUAUGCGUGUGUGUGCGGGCGGGGUCCUCAGACCCCCCCUUUUAUUUACUCUGAUGUACUUUUCAUCCUUUCCAAUAGAAGUGUGUUUCUAUUGGCCCGUUGGCUGUGUCACCGUCAGCAGUUACCAGGGACCGUCCUGCCGUCGCCUCUACCCACCACGGGACCACCACCCUCUCAGGCUACCCACCACGGGACCACCACCCUCUCCUCUACCCACCACGGGACCACCACCCUCUCAGGCUACCCACCACGGGACCACCACCCUCUCAGGCUACCCACCACGGGACCACCACCCUCUCCUCUACCCACCACGGGACCACCACCCUCUCCUCUACCCACCACGGGACCACCACCCUCUCAGGCUACCCACCACGGGACCACCACCCUCUCCUCUACCCACCACGGGACCACCACCCUCUCAGGCUACCCACCACGGGACCACCACCCUCUCAGGCUACCCACCACGGGACCACCACCCUCUCCUCUACCCACCACGGGACCACCACCCUCUCCUCUACCCACCACGGGACCACCACCCUCUCAGGCUACCCACCACGGGACCACCACCCUCUCCUCUACCCACCACGGGACCACCACCCUCUCAGGCUACCCACCACGGGACCACCAUCCUCUCCUCUACCCACCACGGGACCACCACCCUCUCAGGCUACCCACCACGGGACCCCCACCCUCUCAGGCUACCCACCACGGGACCACCACCCUCUCAGGCUACCCACCACGGGACCACCACCCUCUCCUCUACCCACCACGGGACCACCACCCUCUCCUCUACCCACCACUGGACCACCACCCUCUCAGGCUACCCACCACGGGACCACCACCCUCUCAGGCUACCCACCACGGGACCACCACCCUCUCAGGCUACCCACCACGGGACCCCCACCCUCUCCUCUACCCACCACGGGACCACCACCCUCUCCUCUACCCACCACGGGACCCCCACCCUCUCAGGCUACCCACCACGGGACAACCACCCUCUCCUCUACCCACCACGGGACAACCACCCUCUCCUCUACCCACCACGGGACCACCACCCUCUCCUCUACCCACCACGGGACCCCCACCCUCUCCUCUACCUACCACGGGACCCCCACCCUCUCCUCUACCCACCACGGGACCACCACCCUCUCCGUCAGCAGGUCAGAGCCCCCUCACAGCUCCACCCUUUUGAAAUAGAUCUAUCUUUAUUGAAGUGUCUUCACCCUGGAGGCCUACCUACACCAAUCACACCAACACCACACAGCCACACUACCACGCACACAACAGACGCACGCUACCUCCCACACCUACAUCCCGUUAUAGACCCCCCAGCCUUCUGUAUAGACCCCCACACACCCACCAUCACCACAAUAGACCCACACACACAUAUCAAACCACAGAACACACCAGACCCACACCAACACACCCACACACACAACCACUCAGACCACAAAGACCACCUCCACCAUCCACCCGUCCUCUCCUCCCACCACCACCAACACACACCCGGUACAUUGCACCAGAUGGCCCAACCCGUGGAAAAGACAAAGUAUAUUUUAAAAUACUCCAGGCCCUGCACCACAGGGACACAGCGGACAGAGCGGUGUCCUCCCGGGAACUCCCCAGGGGGAUGUCACGACAGGUCCACAAAUGAUCCCACUUCAUCAAACCCAUCACCCCCAGACACCACAUCACAAAGAAAUAAUGACAACACCAACACCUGGAUGCACAAUGACAUGUUGAUCCUUAAAGAACACUACACACACACAAUAGACCAACUCACACAAACCCCCCAGCCCACCAACACACUCUCACUUAAGACCGCUACCAACCGGGCGCACAAGAGGUUGGGCCACAGACUAUUACCCACCACCUUCCAUCAACUAGAACACACACUACUCCAUACACCGUCCGCCCCACACUCACCACUCAUCACCAACCCACACCCCCUCAACCUACUCCCCCCCUCCCCCAUACCGACCAGUCCCCAUACCACCCCACCUCGAGCCUGGACCUCCCCCUCACCGACACCUCCACAGCCCACACUCAGCCACACAGACCCCCCCCCCUCCCCCCUCUGCCUCCCCAACCAGCACCCACACACACCCUAG
rnacentral:lncRNA from 1 species